rnacentral:rRNA from 1 species
UACGUAGGGGGCAAGCGUUGUCCGGAAUCAUUGGGCGUAAAGCGCGUGUAGGCGGUUCGGUAAGUCUGCUGUGAAAGUCCAGGGCUCAACCCUGGGAUGCCGGUGGAUACUGUCGGACUAGAGUACGGAAGAGGCGAGUGGAAUUCCCGGUGUAGCGGUGAAAUGCGCAGAUAUCGGGAGGAACACCUGUGGCGAAGGCGGCCCCCUGGUUGGAUACUGACGCUGAUACGCGAAAGCGUGGGGAGCAAACAGG